UACGUAGGGUCCGAGCGUUGUCCGGAGUUACUGGGCGUAAAGCGCGCGCAGGCGGCGGUGCUGGCCCGGCGUGAAAGCCCCCGGCUCAACCGGGGAGGGUCGUCGGGGACCGCACCGCUUGAGGGCGGUAGGUGCUGGUGGAAUGCCUGGUGUAGUGGUGAAAUGCGUAGAGAUCAGGCGGAACACCCGUGGCGAAGGCGGCCAGCUGGGCCGUCCCUGACGCUGAGGCGCGAAGGCGUGGGGAGCGAACGGG
rnacentral:rRNA from 1 species